CCGUCCAACACUCAGAGCACUGGGGAGCGGGUGUGCGGGUAGGGAGGGACGGAGGAGCUAGAGAGAGGGAGCAGUCGGCGUUACCAUGCUUCGUUGUUUGGGAUCGGGGGAAAGGGUGCCGACAACGCGGGGCUGGGGAGGGAGGUGGGAGGAGGGGCUAGAGCUACCAGCAGCAGGGAGAGUGAGGAGGACGAAGUAGUUCUGUCGGUCGUGCAGGUAGGGAGGAAUCCGCGGUACCACCGCCAGCCCUGCCUCGCCCCCGCCUUUCGGCACCCCUCAGGCGGCCGUCCUCCUUCGUCAUAUCCCCGACUACUUCGCUGCCUACACUAGGUGGCGGAGGGAUCCACGAGUAGGCGGAGCCGAGCACUCCUUCGUCGCCCUCCUCCCUACUCGAGUUGACCCGCGUAGUCUCUUUCUCCCUUCCUCGCCUAUGGUCGGUCCUCCGACGAGCCGAGUCAGGUCGGUACCUCGACCGCGACGCCUAAGGGACGAUCGGAGGAAGUAGAAGUACACCUAAAUCCACCGUGUGAUCUACAACGUGGUGGCUACCGUCAUCGGUCUAAACCGCAAGCACCACGUUACCGAACCACAACGGGAACGAACUACCACGACCUAUACAGUUAUUUGACUAGCACCUAAUAGAGGUUGACACAUCAAUGGAGAGAGCGAGAGUUACCACUGCAUCUAGAGGAAAACUGGCUAUACGGUAACAAAGCACGUCGGUCAACUCCAACCCCACACGAACACGUCUAUCAGCUACCCCGCGAACCGGAAGAUCGAUAUCUGACUAACUGUCCGUACCAAGUAACAAUAAAGGAAGGAAAUUAUCAUAACAUUCCCUUCGUCCAAGAGGUUUAUUUACGCCUUCUAACGUCGUAGUUCCCAUAGUGAAGUGACCUAAAAAGAUGAAGAACCACCCGUCGAUUUAAUCAAAGGGACCAGGCAAAGAGUUGAUAGUGUCUUCUUGAGAAAUGAGACAUUAAAAGAGAAAUAAACACGACUUCCGUAUCUAGUUCACGAUGUACCGAUACGAGAAGCCUCGAAUCUCGUAGUCACCAACCGGAGGAAAGAUAAACAAGAAAAAAGAUCCUAAACGCACACAAUUAGCCUACUUAUAUACCUUCCUAUGUCUCUCCGGUCUCUCAAACGAUAGUUUAAGAGUUCGUCGUUCUUCUAUCGAUCGGAUUUACUUAGUUCUGUACUUGUCACAGCUCUUCAAUGCCUACGUCUUCACGUCGUUCAUAGCGGAGAUAAAAAAAAUAGAGUUUAGUUGGCGUCUUUUUUGAUGACCUAUUAGUAGAAGAACGGUGAAAUAUUAACCGAAUGACGAUACUAGGACCACAAUAAACGAUACUCUUUUCUUGCUCUCCAAGUUACACGUGGAGUAUAGUAGUGUAGUUUACCUUAUUAACUUAUCCGAAUAUAUAGUAGUAUAGACGUGUGUAUUAGAGAAGAUACUAACACAUGGAGAAAUAAGAUGACAAGAAUCUACUACUUGAAUACGAGAAAAUACGGUUCAUCAAUUUAAACACACGUACAAGAGUACCUAGUAUGAAUCUAAAACGUUGUAACCGGGUAUCCCGGUACGAUUAAUCACAACCGGUACUAGUCC
rnacentral:rRNA from 1 species